rnacentral:rRNA from 1 species
UGAGGAAUAUUGGUCAAUGGACGCAAGUCUGAACCAGCCAUGCCGCGUGAAGGAUGAAGGCCUUCUGGGUUGUAAACUUCUUUUAUUGGGGAAGAAAAUUACGGUUUCUACUGUAACCGACGGUACCCAAGGAAUAAGCACCGGCUAACUUCCGUGC